rnacentral:rRNA from 1 species
GACAGAGGGUGCAAACGUUGUUCGGAAUUACUGGGCGUAAAGCGAGUGUAGGCGGUUUCGUAAGUCGGAUGUGAAAGCCCCGGGCUCAACCCGGGAAGUGCACUCGAUACUGCGAGGCUAGAGUACUGGAGAGGUUGGUGGAAUUCUCGGUGUAGAGGUGAAAUUCGUAGAUAUCGAGAGGAACACCGGUGGCGAAGGCGGCCAACUGGACAGAUACUGACGCUGAGACUCGAAAGCGUGGGGAGCAAACAGG